GAUGCAUAGCAAACAAAUCAGAUCGAGACAAGAGAGAAAGAGAGAGAGACGUGUGAGAAGAGAGAAAGGUCCCUUCUUCCCCCUUGCCCUCUCCUCUUAUUGCCGCCUCUCUUCCCUUGGGUGUGGAUCCAUCUUGGGUGUCCCACCUGCUGGUGUGAGGUGUCACACAGCACAUCUCAUCCCUUGAUUGAUUGAGUUGCAAAGGUAAUUGGAUUGG
rnacentral:lncRNA from 1 species